CCCCUAGAUGUUCUGGGCCGCACGCGCGCUACACUGAACAGUUCAACAAGUCUUAACCUUGGCCGAUAGGUCUGGGUAAUCUUUGAACGCUGUUCGUGACUGGGAUAGACCUUUGCAAUUAUGGGUCUUCAACGAGGAAUUCCUAGUAAACGCAAGUCAUCAGCUUGCAUUGAUUACGUCCCUGCCCUUUGUACACACCGCCCGUCGCACCUACCGAUUGAAUGGUCCGGUGAAAUCUCGGGACGGCGGCUUGGUCGCUCGCGUCCGACUGCUGAAACUUGAUUAAACCAUAUCAUUUAGAGGAAGGUGAAGUCGUAACA
rnacentral:rRNA from 1 species